ensembl:lncRNA
GAGGGACAGCGUAUGUAAAAACAUUUAUUGGUUGAGGACGUAUUAUAGUUGACAUGGCCUUUCUACCAGGCUUGGUGGUUAAUAUUAACAGUACAGCUUCCUACUUCCUCUACUCUUUAGUCUCAGACAUGGAGCUUCAACAUUCAACAAAAAAAAAAAAAUUGAAAUAAUCUUUACAUUUCCUUGACACACACAGGUGUGUGUGUGACGGUGUGGAAUGUGUGUGAGGGUUAAACAUGAUGAGAUGGUCAACUAUAACAAUAUACAUGAUUAAGAUCAGAUUAUGGACAGAGCAGAGCACAGAGCCAGGUUACUAUAGCCUGGGUUACACCCUAUGGGCCCUGGUCAACAGGAAGCACACCAUAUAAGGAACAGGGAACCAUUUGGGAUUCAGACAUUAUAGUUAAGCAGACAGCAUCACUCCAAAUAACCUUAGUCAGCCAAUCACAUCGCUCUAUCCCACCCACAGAAUCAAGACUGACUAACUGGCUGGUUCACCAGAUGUGAUUAAGAAACUAAACAUGAGCAUCGUAUUGGUCCAGACAAACCACAUGAUCUCAACAUGAGGACUUCCUACUCCAGAUUACCACAUUAACAACACAUAGGACCAGUUUCCUGGACACAGAUUCAGCAGUUUUGGUCCAGUAGGAUUCAUGUGAGUCCAGGAAGCCAGCCUGUAAUUAAGCAAUAAGGCACAGCCCCCCUGUAGUGCCAAUAUACCACAGCUAAGGGUUGUUCUUAGGCACGACGCAGCGUGGAGUGCCUUGACACAGCCCUUAGCCGUGGUAUAUUAGCUAUAUAAACCCCCAAGGUGCCUUAUUGCUAUUAGAAACUGGUUACCAAUGUAAUUAGAGCAGUAAAAAUUAAAUGUUUUGUCAUACCCGUGGUAUACGGUCUGAUGUACCACGGCUGUCAGCCAAUCAGCAUUCAGGGCUUGAACCACCCAGUUUGUAAUUCUCUAUAAAAGGCUGUAUUUAGUCUGUUUUACAGCAGGCUAGUGUUCUCAGGAGAAUCCAGCUGAGUUUAAACACAGCAUGCUGUUUUCUUCCAUAGUGAGUAGCAUGCCAGGGCCAGGAGCCGCUUCCAGGAGCCGCUUCCAGGAGCCGCUUCCAGGCCACUCAGUGUGUGGUGUGUUGCUCUCUCCUGCGUCUCUCCCAUUACCAUGACAUUCCUUCACACAGACACUGCCCCACUGACGGCCAUCUUUGCUUGUUCCAUCGCCAUAAGCAACAACAGCCCAGCAGAGAGAAGGAACACAGUGCACAUCAAAAAUGAUGACAUUGUACACAUGACACUGUGCACAUCAAAUUAAAAAAAGUGUAAUGAACCCAGAUGUUUUCAGUCUAAUCUAACCUACUCUCUGACAGGAUAUGUGUAAUCUAAAGAGAAUAUAGUGACAUGGAGUUGCAUCUCCUCCAGUAUGUAUGUAAGCGCUGCACAUUAGUCUUUGGCAUGGUUCAGUAUCGGAGAAGCCCAUUGGUUGAGCUGACGUUCACGCCAGACCAAUAACAGGAGAACAGAAGAUCAGGUCAAUGCUUCAUCGUCGUGGAUUAAAAACCUCGUAUUUACUUGGUUAAAUAACAUCCACAUACGUUUCCCAGUGACAUAAAGAGGGAAAUAAAAAUAAGCACAUUAAAUCUGAGUCUGAAUCGAUUUUUAAAAAAAACUGUUGAGAUUGAAAGAGAUCCACCAUAUUAUCAAUUGUAAGACUUUAAUUCUUUAAGACUUUAAAUUCUUUACGACAGUAUUAAGACAUCUAUAAACGUUCUUCAGGGCUUCAGACUUUUUCAGAGAGGCAGCUGUUCUCAUACACUCCUCAGAGUACACUACAGCUGUACCAACCCACCACAUCCACCCCAGGAGGUUAACAACACCGGGACAACCCACCACAUCCACCCCAGGAGGUUAACAGACGGCCCUACCAGGACAACCCACCACAUCCACCCCAGGAGGUUAACAGACAGCCCUACCAGGACAACCCACCACAUCCACCCCAGGAGGUUAACAGACAGCCCUACCAGGACAACCCACCACAUCCACCCCAGGAGGUUAACAGACAGCCCUACCAGGACAACCCACCACAUCCACCCCAGGAGGUUAACAGACAGCCCUACCAGGACAACCCACCACAUCCAACCCAGGAGGUUAACAGACAGCCCUACCAGGACAACCCACCACAUCCACCCCAGGAGGUUAACAGACAGCCCUACCAGGACAACCCACCACAUCCACCCCAGGAGGUUAACAGACACCAUCACAUCAACCUCUCUCUUCCCCCUGUGUAGGAAGCACUGAUCAGAACCAAGAGCUUUCAGAACCAAGAGAUACAGCAGUCUAGCUAGGGAGGCCUGUCCCGUACCACUGUAGGGGCUGGAGGUCAGGGCCCUAUACCACUGUAGGGUUAGAGGUCAGAGGUUAGGAUAGUAUGUUUAAAACCAUGGUUACUUGGUUAGAUUACAGUACUGUUCAUGUUGCUCUAAACACAGUAAAAACAGAAAAUAAAUCAUUCAGAGAAAAUAAAAAAGAAAGCGCCUGAAAUGAACUGAAAAAACGAAACAAUAAGAUGUACAGCUGUAGUUCUAACAAUAGUAUAAUAAACAAUAAACAAUAAUAAUAAUAACAACAACGUGUGUAUAGAUAUGUAGGUACUAGAGAGAGCUAUUCCAGUUAUUUCUCUUCUCCUCAGAUAGAUGAUGUUACCUGCGUCUCAAAUGGAACCCUAUUCUCUAUAGGGCACGAUCACAGCCCCUAGGGCUCGGAUCAAAAGUAGUGCACUACGUAGGGAACAAGGGUGCCAUUUGGGACUCGCAGUCCCCGUCUGGUUGAGGGCGCCUUGCUCCGGGUUUUGGCACAAGACUUAACGUCCACGGUGAGAUGAGACCAGGGGAUUGGCUGAAAAUGUAUUCCAUACGGCGAGAUGAGACGACGGGACAGAUCUGGGAGACAUGACAGGCUCCGCCCCUUACUGGUCCCCCUCCACUCGCCUCUUGCGGACUGGAGAGAAGACAGGAAGAGGACAAGGAGAAGAGGACAAGGAGGAAUUGUACAGUGAGAAACUUGAUCAAAACACAGCAAACAACAUGGUGAUCAAACAAUCCUAAAACAGUCCCGUGCUGGUCAGAAGAGACAGAGGAGUCCAACCCUAUGAUUUUAAAGUGCAUACAAGCC